AUCUCUGGGAGUCAAACAUGGACCAUGCUUGGACCAGGUCUCAACCAUGUAGGUUAUCCCGCUAUUGGAAUUUGAUGUAUUUCUCAUGAUUCAAUGGGAGCCAAGGGUUUUGGAGGAAGAUCACAGAGGUAAGUGUCAUUUUCAUCACAUCACACCACAUUAAGACUACCAACCAUCAACAGGACUUAUCACAGCUGAUGUCCAUCUUGAUUACCUGACUGAGGUAGCGUUUGUCAAGCUUACUAGCUGUAAAGUUUUUUUUUUUUCUCUCUCUCUAUUUCCAUAAUGUAUAUCUGGAAGGAGGUAUGCAUAGCCCACAUUUAAGGAGUGAAGAUUUAUGGUCCCUGACCUUGAGACUUGAGUAUCUACAUAAAUUAUUUGGAAUUCUUCUUCAUGGGAGAUAUCUCUUCUCCCAUUUAUUUAUUCAUUUAUUUAUCAAUAUGGACUCCCAGAUAUUUAUUUUGUACUUGUGAUAAUCCAAUACUACUUUGCUCCGUUGCUCAAAUUGUUCCAUCUUUGGCAUGGGAACUCUUUCACUUGGCUCUUGUGCUCCUUUGACAGAAUGACAUGAAGGUGGAAUUUUGCUGUGUUUGUUUGGCUUGGUUUUGUGUACUCCCUCACUUUCUGUCGCUAUAUGUUCCAGGCUCAUCUUGUAUAUUUCUUUGGUAGUCUUUAGGUCAGCUAUUAUUCCAAGGCACUCUGGUUACUGUUAUUGCAAGGGGUGUAAGAAACCAAGAUCUGGGCAUUAGGUAUACUUGUUACGAUGAGUGGAGUGUUGUUUCUUUAGAGCUUUUUCAGUUGGCAAAGCAAAGAACUAUCUAUGCACACAUCACUCAUGCAUAUACACGUAUCUAUGAAUGAUGAUCUAUAUGUAAUGAAAGUUGGCUCCCACUUUGUGCCACCCAUUUACUUGUUUAAUUCCACUGUACAUGUACAGUAACAUCAGAAUUAUUCAUCCACACGCUCGUGCGGAAUGGCUUUAUCAACUCACCUACAGUACUUAUGUGUAGUUCCUUUGGCUUUACAGAUUCUACUCUUUUCCAAAUUUACUUAGUUCAGCACCACACUUCCCUGUAGUGACACUGUAAGGAAUUAAAGAGGAUGGAGAGGUAAAUUUACAGACUAAAAUAGUCUUAAAGGUGUAAAUACUUUUGAAAUUGGUAAUAUUAAAUUACAUCAUCCAGAGAUGUGCAUUUAAAUGUUGAAAGGAAAAAAGCAAAGAAGUUGUGACUAUAGAAGUUACCGCAAACAAGCAACUCUUCCUUCCAGGCAGAUAAAUUGUCAGAGACUGGAGGUAUUAUUCCACCUGAAACAGGUUUUAAAAAACCCAACAAGAUAAUAUAUGAAACAAUGAUUUUCAGACAGUAGAUGCCAGGAAAUGCAGGGCAGUGAUUCCUGAGAGAUGAGGAAAUAAAUAAGGUAAGCUCUGUAAUUGCCUUGGCUUAAUUAGGAGAGAGCUUUGAGGCUACAAUGCAGGAAGGGGGAGCCCCAGAGGCCAGGAAUUCCCCUGAGUUAAGGAAAUGGCGCUGGGAAUCCAACCUCCAAGGAGUGGAGCACGAGAGGAGAGAGUUACCAUAGAGAAAGCUCCGUGGGUGGCAGGAAGUCCACCUAACCACAGGUGAGUAGGAAGCUAAUGUAGGACAGAGAAAAAUAACCCCCAAAAGGAGCAGAGGGAAAAGGCCUGGAAUUCCACUGGAAGAAAUAAUGUCCUCUCUAGCCAGAGUAGAAAACUUGACUUUGCGCAAAAUACCCACAGAGCUUACCAAAACCUCAUUCAUUUCACUGAAUUAACCAAUACAGCCUUGACCCUGAAACACUCACCCACAAACCCUAGUAAAGGCACGUGCCGCACCCUGCCUUGACCUGCCAG
ensembl:lncRNA